GGGGAGUCAAAGCAAGACAUCCAGAAAUGUUUGCAAAUCACAAGGGCAUUUAUGAGAAAGAAGGGUUACAGUGCGGUGGACAUGUGAUACUGUCAAACAUCCCAAACAACAGGACAGUACAUUUUGUGGAGUAUUUGCAUUGAAGUUUGCAGAAAGACUCCUUGCAAAAGAGGCUGUGGAUUUCCCUGUUUUCACUGAGGCGGUCAACAGCCUCAGGUUUGACAUUGCUGUGAGACUUCUCCUUAACAGUGAUGACUUAGAAGACUUGUGCCACUUCUGCGGAGAGAUGGAAAAAGAG